UCGUCAGCUCGUGUCGUGAGAUGUUGGGUUAAGUCCCGCAACGAGCGCAACCCUUGUCCUUAGUAGCCAGCACGUUAAGGUGGGAACUCUAAGGAGACUGCCAGGGAUAACCUGGAGGAAGGUGGGGAUGACGUCAAAUCAUCAUGCCCCUUAUGAUUUGGACUACACACGUGCUACAAUGGCGUAAACAAAGGGAAGCAAACCUGUGAGGGGGAGCGAAUCCCAAAAAUAACGUCCCAGUUCGGACUGCAGUCUGCAACUCGACUGCACGAAGCUGGAAUCGCUAGUAAUCGCGGAUCAGCAUGCCGCGGUGAAUACGUUCCCGGGUCUUGUACACACCGCCCGUCACACCAUGGGAGUUGGUAACGCCCGAAGUCAGUGACCUAACCGAAAGGAGGGAGCUGCCGAAGGCGGGACUGAUGACUGGGGUGAAGUCGUAACAAGGUAACCGUA
rnacentral:rRNA from 1 species